CUGUACAUUUUUAAAUAUCUUUAGGGUGAAUUCAAAGGGAUGAAAUUACUCAGCUAAAGAGUUUGCACUGCUAGAGACACUCGGUACCUGUUACCAGAUGACCUUCUAGAAACUUCCUCUGGCAGGUUUGCUUUCUCAGUUGCAGUCUGUAAGAUGAUGGUUGCUGUUCCCGAGUGGGCCCAGGAAUGAUGUUUCUCACCAGAGCGCUCAGGCCCAUGCUGGUGUUCUCUGCUCUUCCAGGGACAUGUCUCGUUUGUAUCAACGGGGAGGAUGUUUCAGCAGAACCAUUUCCUGAUGGGUGUCAAGCUGAAAACAGAGUGCUCGCCCCAGGCUGGCUGAAACAGGAAUCCUAAGAGAAGCAACCACAUUGCCCCCCUCCACCCCCACGGCUGCCCACCGCCCUCCCCACGCCCCCACCCCCAGCCAGUCAAGUCUCUUCCUCUUCAGGAGGCCCAGGUCCUAGUUUCUCCUUUGAUCCAACACUACGGACAGGGGGUGUGUCAUGUCUGUGUGCUUAUAGGUGAAUGUGAAUGACUUUUCAAGGCAUCCUGAAAACACAAAAUCAUUCUUUGGAUUGCUUUUGUCAAAUAAUAAAAUUAUUUGACAUAAGUCUCAUUGAAAACAGAUGUGGAAAUACACAGUUCUGACUUUUUUACUAACCUUCCCUAGGGGUUCUUGGCUUACGCCAAUCUGCAUUUUGAUGCUGAAAGUUUCAGCAUCUGUCUUUCCCAGGUGGGUUGUCCUUAAUAUCCAGGAAGACUUUGCAGCAGCGAACAUGGGUAAGAGCAAGCCUGGGGCAUCACCCUUCCUGACUCCAUGGUGUAGUCCUCUGCAUCUCCGCGUGGGCAUGGCUUCCUCCAGCCCCAGGCCACAGUUGAGGCGUUCGGAUCAUUUAAGUCAGUUUCAUAAAACGAGUAAACGGAGUGCAAGUUUCUGUUCGUUCUAAGCUCAAGAGGCUGCCUCUCCUGUUGGCAGAUAUCAGAAUUUGCAGCUCACAGGAUAGUAAAGCAAGAGCUGCAUUUUCCUUUCUGUGCCUGUUACAAAGUCUAAGGUGGGCUGCCCAGGGCUGAUAGCCUGAUGCCGUGAUCUUUCAGCUCCGUAGCUUUUUUGUUUUCAAAUGUUUUCCAGAUGGUUUCUGCCCCUCCAGGCAUAACAUCUGCUCUCCACUCAGCCGGAAGUGGGAAGGGCACAACUUUGCCUUUUUAUUUUGGAACCUGGGGAGUGGUGGCCACAUCUCAUUGGCCAAAACUGCGUAAUAUCCCUGCCUUCAGAUGCAGGACAAGAGGGCGGUAAGGAAGGAUGUGGAUGAGCAUGUGUGUCGGAUAAACCCACCUCCUGUCUUCCCCACUGUCUCAAGUAAGAAGAGGAAGGAGACAGGGAAAUAGGAGUGGCUUCUGAGAGUUCAUCAACAGGAGGCAAUGGGAGCUCCCUUCACAGCCUCAAAUAGGUCCACGGAGGCCCACGUCUGUGCCACCUUGUUCCGACCUAAACAGCCAACCCAGGAUGAGCGGCUGACGGACUGGUCGGUACCCUGGCUGCUGACGGGAGGGCGAGAAGGGAGCAGGCUGCAGUGCAACAGAGCAUCUGCAGAAGGGAGCCGCUGACCGGACGCCCAAGAAGGGACAGGACCCAGCUCUCCCGCCAGAAGGCAUGUCACUCUAAGGUCUCCCACCUCUUCGUUUCCCCUUGGGGAAAAUUAGAGGGCAGAAACAGAAGUGAGCUUCCUUCCGAAGUCAUGGGCACAGAGCCACAGGACAGAUAAAGUUAGAAUCAUGGAGAAAAUGUUGUAUCCCAUGCCUGCUUGUUCUGAAUUCAGCUACGAACUUAGAGCCAAAGUAUCUUUGGGUCAUUCCAUCUAGGGUCCUGGGUCAUCCGCGCAUCCCCCCUUUCUUCUGCCCUUCACCAUCCAGCCGGGGUGUUAGUACCGACAUGGCUCUAACGCAGGGUUUUAAUUAGACCAUCCAAAGGUCGAUCGCACCAGAAACAUCUGGGGUGUCAGGUACCCCAGGUCAAUCGGAUUAAAAUUUGAGAACCUAA